UGGCAUCUACUGAUAGACCUGCUGCCGUUAUAAGUGGCCUCUGGGUUUGCACUGAGAUGCGAUAGGAAUCCUCCUCGCGCUUUCUAUCUGUCCUGUAACGUGGCAGAAGCAGAUUGAAGAGAGGAGAACAGGC